rnacentral:rRNA from 1 species
UACGGAGGGUGCAAGCGUUAUCCGGAUUCACUGGGGUUAAAGGGUGCGUAGGAGGGCAGGUAAGUCAGUGGUGAAAUCCCCGAGCUUAACUUGGGAACUGCCGUUGAUACUAUCUGCCUUGAAUGUUGUGGAGGUGAGCGGAAUAUGUCAUGUAGCGGUGAAAUGCUUAGAUAUGACAUAGAACACCAAUUGCGAAGGCAGCUCGCUACACAAUUAUUGACUCUGAGGCACGAAAGCGUGGGGAUCAAACAGG